AGAGUUUGAUCAUGGCUCAGAGUGAACGCUGGCGGCGUGCUUAACACAUGCAAGUCGAACGGGAAAAAGAUAGUGCUUGCACUAUCCUAUCUAGUGGCAUACGGGUGAGUAAUACAUGGGAAUCUGCCUUGCAGUAUGGGAUAACUAUUGGAAACAAUAGCUAAUACCGUAUAUCGCCGAGAGGUGAAAGAUUUAUCGCUGCAAGAUGAGCCCAUGCGGGAUUAGUUUGUUGGUGGGGUAAUGGCCUACCAAGACUACGAUCUCUAGCUGGUCUGAGAGGAUGAUCAGCCACACUGGAACUGAGACACGGUCCAGACUCCUACGGGAGGCAGCAGUGGGGAAUAUUGGACAAUGGGCGAAAGCCUGAUCCAGCGACGUCGCGUGAGUGAAGAAGGCCUUAGGGUUGUAAAGCUCUUUUAGUAGGGAAGAUAAUGACGGUACCUACAGAAAAAGCCCCGGCUAACUUCGUGCCAGCAGCCGCGGUAAUACGAAGGGGGCUAGCGUUACUCGGAAUUAUUGGGCGUAAAGCGUGCGUAGGCGGCCUAGCAAGUCGGAAGUGAAAUCCUCAAGCUCAACUUGAGAACUGCUUUCGAAACUGUCAGGCUUGAGUAUUGGAGAGGAUAGCGGAAUUUCUAGUGUAGGGGUGAAAUCCGUAGAUAUUAGAAAGAACCCGGUGGCGAAGGCGGCUAUCUGGACAAUAACUGACGCUGUUGCACGAAAGCGUGGGGAGCAAACAGGAUUAGAUACCCUAGUAGUCC
rnacentral:rRNA from 1 species